rnacentral:rRNA from 1 species
UGAGGAAUAUUGGUCAAUGGACGCAAGUCUGAACCAGCCAAGUAGCGUGCAGGAUGACGGCCCUAUGGGUUGUAAACUGCUUUUAUAUGGGGAUAAAGUGGGGAACGUGUUCCCUUUUGCAGGUACCAUAUGAAUAAGGACCGGCUAAUUCCGUGCCAGCAGCCGCGGUAAUACGGAAGGUUCGGGCGUUAUCCGGAUUUAUUGGGUUUAAAGGGAGCGUAGGCCGUUUGGUAAGCGUGUUGUGAAAUGUAGGAGCUCAACUUUUAGAUUGCAGCGCGAACUGGCAGACUUGAGUGCGCACAACGUAGGCGGAAUUCAUGGUGUAGCGGUGAAAUGCUUAGAUAUCAUGACGAACUCCGAUUGCGAAGGCAGCUUACGGGAGCGCAACUGACGCUAAAGCUCGAAGGUGUGGGUAUCGAACAGG